rnacentral:rRNA from 1 species
GUGUCAGCAGCCGCGGUAAGACGGAGGGUGCUAGCGUUGUUCGGAAUCACUGGGCGUAAAGGGCGCGUAGGCGGCCAGGCAAGUCGGCUUGUGAAAGCCCGGGGCUCAACCCCGGAGGUGCGGCCGGGACUGCUUGGCUGGAGGCCGGAAGAGGAGGGUGGAAUACCCAGUGUAGAGGUGAAAUUCGUAGAUAUUGGGUGGAACACCGGUGGCGAAAGCGGCUCUCUGGUCCGGUCCUGACGCUGAGGCGCGAAAGCGUGGGGAGCAAACAGGAUUAGAAACCCCCGUAGUCC